CCUACGGGAGGCAGCAGUGAGGAAUAUUGGUCAAUGGCCGGGAGGCUGAACCAGCCAAGUCGCGUGAGGGAAGAAGGCACUGCGUGUUGUAAACCUCUUUUGUCGGGGAGCAAAGACUGGCACGUGUCACCGAUUGAGAGUACCUGAAGAAAAAGCAUCGGCUAACUCCGUGCCAGCAGCCGCGGUAAUACGGAGGAUGCGAGCGUUAUCCGGAUUUAUUGGGUUUAAAGGGUGCGCAGGCGGUCGGGUAAGUCAGCGGUCAAAUCGCGGGGCUCAACCCCGUACUGCCGUUGAAACUGGCUGCCUCGAGUUGGAGAGAAGUAUGCGGAAUGCGUGGUGUAGCGGUGAAAUGCAUAGAUAUCACGCAGAACUCCGAUUGCGAAGGCAGCAUGCCGGCGCGAAACUGACGCUGAUGCACGAAAGCGUGGGUAUCGAACAGGAUUAGAUACCCUAGUAGUC
rnacentral:rRNA from 1 species